UAGGGAAUCUUCCACAAUGGACGCAAGUCUGAUGGAGCAACGCCGCGUGAGUGAAGAAGGUUUUCGGACCGUAAAGCUCUGUUGUUGGUGAAGAAGGAUAGAGGUAGUAACUGGCCUUUAUUUGACGGUAAUCAACCAGAAAGUCACGGCUAACUACGUGCCAGCAGCCGCGGUAAUACGUAGGUGGCAAGCGUUGUCCGGAUUUAUUGGGCGUAAAGCGAGCGCAGGCGGAAGAAUAAGUCUGAUGUGAAAGCCCUCGGCUUAACCGAGGAAUUGCAUCGGAAACUGUUUUCUUGAGUGCAGAAGAGGAGAGUAGAACUCCAUGUGUAGCGGUGGAAUGCGUAGAUAUAUGGAAGAAUACCAGUGGCGAAGGCGGCUCUCUGGUCUGCAACUGACGCUGAGGCUCGAAAGCAUGGGUAGCGAACAGGAUUAGAUACCCUGGUAGCCCAUGCCGUAAACGAUGAGUGCUAAGUGUUGGGAGGCUUCCGCCUCUCAGUGCUGCAGCUAACGCAUUAAGCACUCCGCCUGGGGGAGUACGACCGCAAGGU
rnacentral:rRNA from 1 species